GAGGAGCUGCGGAAGCAGAGCGAUCUCAAGGAGACGUACAAGGCCCGGCUGGAGAACGCGCAGCAGUACCUCCGGUUCUGCCUCGAGGUCGCCCAGGAGCACGGCUUCUUGCACCUCAUGUCCAACGACGAGGAGCGCCCGCCUCACAGGAGCGUCGACGAAGACGCGGAGGCCGCGACGGCGACCGACGACGAGGACGGGGACGAAGAACCGGAGUCGAUAGAAGCGCCGCCCCGCGACCCGUACUUGGCCGCCACGAGAGACCUCGCGGUGCAGCACGGCUGGUCCGUCGCACCGGACGAGAUCGAGCUGCACGAGACGAUAGGCCGAGGGACGACGGCGGAGAUACACCGGGCGACGUGGAGGGGGCUGGAGGUGGCGGUGAAGUGGAUCCGGCCGGAGCUCCUCCGCUCCAACCCGAGCGCCGAGGCCUUCUUCGCGCAGGAGCUGGACGUCCUCUCCCGGCAGCGGCACCCGCACGUGCUGCGGCUGAUGGGCGCGUGCCUGCGCCCGCCGGAGAGCUGCUUCCUGGUGACGGAGCUCCUCAGCGGCGCCACGCUGGUGGAGUGGCUGCACGGGGGCAAGGAGCGCCGCAGGAAGGAGCUGCCGCCGGCGCGGCCGCUGGCGCAGAGGGUGGGGAGGGCGCUGGAGGUCGCGCUGGCGAUGCGGCACCUCCACGAGCAGACGCCGCGGGUGCUGCACCGGGACCUGAAGCCCAGCAACGUGCUGCUGGACGCCGACUCGCGCGCGCGGGUCGCCGACUUCGGCCACGCCAGGUUCCUGCCGGACGGCGCGCAGGCGCUCACCGGCGAAACCGGGACGUACGUGUACAUGGCGCCCGAGGUGAUCCGCUGCGAGCCGUACACGGAGAAGUGCGACGUGUACAGCUUCGGCGUGAUGCUCAACGAGCUCGUCACCGGGGAGCACCCGUACAUAGACACCAGCUACGGGCCUAGCAAGAUUGCGUUGGAGGUAGCGGAUGGAAAACUGAGGCCAAGGCUCCCGGAAGGCGACGCGGAUGCUGCUACUGGAGCCCUGGUUGAUCUCAUCUGCCGGGCGUGGUACGCGGAGCCUUCGAGGAGGCCUUCGUUUGCCGCCAUCACCGUGGCACUUCGAGGUAUCCAAGAGCAGCUGGUGUGA
rnacentral:rRNA from 1 species